GACGAACGCUGGCGGCGUGCUUAACACAUGCAAGUCGAGCGGUAAGGUCCUGGGUACGACGAGCGGCGAACGGGUGAGUAACACGUGGGUGACCUGCCUCUAGCUCUGGGAGUAAGCCUGGGAAACGUGGGUCGUAAUACCGGAUAUGACUCCACGGCGCAUGUUGUGGGGUGGAAAGCCUUGUGUGGCUAGAGAUGGGCCCGCGGCCUAUCAGCUUGUUGGUGGGGUGAGUGGCCUACCAA
rnacentral:rRNA from 1 species